rnacentral:lncRNA from 1 species
AGGGAUACAGACUAGACCUAUGAUUUUAUUGGUGCGGCAGGAACUUCUUUCCCAAAGGCAGCUUGUAGAGAAGCACUGUGGCUAGCUUGGAAGCCAGGAAGACCGGGGUUCAAGUCCUCUCUCUGACAUGUAAGGGCAGUGUGACCUUAAACAACAUAGUAGGAGGAAACCAAAACACUGAAUGGGGCCUCAGGCUAGGUUAAGGAUGGUCUAGCUGCUAGGUCAAGGUUGGAGAUAAUUCCACGGUCACCUGCCCCGGUCAGAAGAUAGCUGCAGUAUAGUGGUUCGUUCUGAGCCCUACCGUUUAGGAGGGGCCAUUGAAAGUAUAGAGAGGAGGGAGACCAAGAUGGCGAAGGGCUGUCCUGGGACCUCCUAUGACUCUACGGAUUGUAUCAUGUUGUAUUGUAUUGCCCUCAGAACUAGACUGCGAGGACAGGGGAGGAUGGGAGGAAGGGGUCCCCAAUGCCUCAGUCUUGUUGGGGCAGCGUCUCAUUCUAGAGCAGCGCAGUGUUCAGCACAGGGGUACAUCAGCGCAGCUGGCCGGUCCAGAAGAAUAGGAGAUGGGGGGUGGGGAAUGAAGGCUGGAGAAAGGGGGGUCUUUGGUGACUCUCCUUAUCCCCUCCAUCCCUCUCCGGCCUGUUUUCCUGGGCCCAGCGCUGCUCUUGUUGCCAUGGCAGCCCAGCUGGUCUGGGCAGACACGGAAAGAAUAGGCUGCAAGCUGCCCUGGGGGAUGGAAGGGGGUGGUGUGGGACAGGCAGCAGCUGGUGCUCGAGGGGUCUGUUCAGCCUGGUCCAGAUGGACAAGCUCUGCAGUCCGGCCCUCCCUCCUCACCGCAGCAGCCGCCACCUGGAGCCUCGCACAAAGCAGGGUGGAUGCUCGCCCCUUUGAGCUGCUGCCUGCGUGCCUUGUGCGCUGCCUGCGCCUUGAUCACCCAGACCACUGCACCUCAGAAACGUCUCUGCCUGGCCCGCCUGUAGGGAACCAGGUAAGGCUGAGACUUUCCCUUUCCUGCCUUCUCUUCACGGUCCUAUUCCUCAAGCACCAACCCC